rnacentral:rRNA from 2 species
UUCCGGUUGAUCCUGCCGGACCUGACUGCUAUCGGAUUGAUACUAAGCCAUGCUAGUCUUUGUAGUAAUACAAGGCAUACGGCUCAGUAACGCGUAGUCAACCUACCCUAUGGACGGGGAUAAUCUCGGGAAACUGAGCAUAAUACCCGGUAGACCACUUAUCCUGGAAUGGUUAGUGGUUAAAAUGAUUCGUCGCCAUAGGAUGGGACUGCGGCCUAUCAGCUUGUUGGUGAGGUAAUGGCCCACCAAGGCGAUUACAGGUACGGGCUCUGAGAGGAGAAGCCCGGAGAUGGGUACUGAGACAAGGACCCAGGCCCUAUGGGGCGCAGCAGGCGAGAAAACUUUGCAAUGUGCGAAAGCACGACAAGGUUAAUCCGAGUGAUUUCUGCUAAAGGAAUCUUUUGUUAGUUCUAAAAAUACUAGUGAAUAAGGGGUGGGCAAGUUCUGGUGUCAGCCGCCGCGGUAAAACCAGCACCUCAAGUGGUCAGGAGGAUUAUUGGGCCUAAAGCAUCCGUAGCCUGUUCUAUAAGUUUGCGGUUAAAUCUAUACGCUCAACGUAUAGGCUGCCGUAAAUACUGUAGAACUAGGGAGUGGGAGAGGUAGACGGUACUCGAUAGGAAGGGGUAAAAUCCUUUGAUCUAUUGAUGACCACCUGUGGCGAAGGCGGUCUACCAGAACACGUUCGACGGUGAGGGAUGAAAGCUGGGGGAGCAAACCGGAUUAGAUACCCGGGUAGUCCCAGCUGUAAACGAUGCAGACUCGAUGAUGCAAUGGCAUAGAGCUAUUGCAGUAUCGCAGGGAAGCCGUUAAGUCUGCCGCCUGGGAAGUACGUACGCAAGUAUGAAACUUAAAGGAAUUGGCGGGGGAGCACCACAAGGGGUGAAGCCUGCGGUUCAAUUGGAGUCAACGCCGGG